GUAGAAGAUCAGAACGAUUGAGAGAGUGAUGAAUGAUAGGGUUCGCUACGUGAAAGAUAUAAGGAGAUCUGUAGAGGUUGUUAUUGCCGCUCUCCGUGAGGACAGGAAUCGCCGAUUAGGGUUUCGCAGGAGAGGAUUCGCCGUUUGAAUGAUUUUGAGAGGAUGAGAGAGAGGGUUAUGACCAAGCGUAUGUGAAAAGCCAAAAACGUAUGGAAGAUUUUAGGGGUUUGAAUCGUAUGACCGAAGGAAGAGGAAAUAAGAUGCAUUGUGUGAGAGAAUAG
rnacentral:lncRNA from 1 species